rnacentral:lncRNA from 1 species
CAAGCCCCGCCCAGCGCAAGCGCUGUUUUUUAAAGGAUUUUCCGGAAGCCUUGGCGGGAACUUCCUGCCAAGCGUGAGAACGCUGCGAACUUCCCGGAGGCCAAAAGUUGAGGGGGCUGAGCGGAGCGUGAUUGGGGAGGGGCGGGCCUGGGAGACCUUGGGCGCCUCCUCUGAAAGCCUCUUCGUAGGUACCCGGUUGAUGGGUGACGUGUUGGGCCGGAAAGGGAGAGCAGCAAAUUGCCCCUCUGUUUUCUGAUAGUGAGGAUUUCUUUCCCAUGCACUGAGUCGGGGCCUCCAGAGCCGCAGUGCAGGGCAGUCGAGGGUCCGCUGCAGGGCGGAGGUCACAGCCGCGCAAGUCGUCAGUCUCCGGUGCAGGGCUGCCGCUGAGUCUUCAAGAGCGAGUUUUAUUAUGGACAGGCGUGUGUUUAUUCCUCCUCCUUUUUUCCUGCUUAUGUUUCUCUUGUCCACGUGGAGAAAUAUAAUAGAUGCUACCUCAGCUAAGUGAUCAAGGUUAACAUCAACAGCUAAGAGUAGCCUAAAGUUUGAGAAACUGUCAC